AGGGCACCACCAGGAGUGGAGCCUGCGGCUUAAUUUGACUCAACACGGGAAAUCUCACCAGGCCCGGACACCGGAAGGAUUGACAGAUUGAGAGCUCUUUCUUGAUUCGGUGGGUGGUGGUGCAUGGCCGUUCUUAGUUGGUGGAGCGAUUUGUCUGGUUAAUUCCGAUAACGAACGAGACUCUGGCCUAUUAACUAGAGGUAAAAUCCUUUUAUGGGUUUUAUGAUGCUUCUUAGAGGGACGGGCGGCUUUUAGCCGCACGAGAAUGAGCAAUAACAGGUAUGUGAUGCCCUUAGGUGUUCUGGGCUGCACGCGCGCUACACUGAAGAAAUCAGCGUGUGCUCCCUAUCCGAAAGGAUUGGGAAUCCGUUGAACCUUCUUCGUGAUGGGGAUGGGGGAUUGCAAUUAUNCCCCAUGAACGAGGAAUCCCCAGUAGGCGCGAGCCAUUAGCUUGCGUCAAUUACUUUCCUGCCCUUUGUACCCCCGCCCGUNGCUCUACGAUCAAGUGAUUAAUGAGAC
rnacentral:rRNA from 1 species